rnacentral:ncRNA from 1 species
GAGCUGGGUUUAGACGUCGUGAGACAGUUCGGUCCCUAUCUGCCGUGGGCGCUGGAGAAUUGAGGGGGGGCUGCUCCUAGUACGAGAGGACCGGAGUGGACGCAUCACUGGUGUUCGGGGUUGUCAUGCCAAUGGCACUGCCCGGUAGCUAAAUGCGGAAGAGAUAAGUGCUGAAAAGCAUCUAAGCACGAAAACUUGCCCCCGAGAUGAGUUCUCCCUGAGACUUUAAGUCUCCUGAAGGAACGUUGAAGACGACGACGUUGAUAGGUCGGGUGUGUAAGCGCAGCGAUGCGUUGAGCUAACCGAUACUAAUGAACCGUGAGGCUUAACCUU